rnacentral:lncRNA from 1 species
UUAAUGUUUUAUUAAUUUUUGAUACAGGAGAGACAGAGCAUGAGAGGGGGAGGGUCAGAGAGAGAAGGAGACACAGAACCGGAAGCAGGCUCCAGGCUCUGAGCCAGCUGUCAGCACAGAGCCUGACGCGGGGCUCGAACCCACGAACGUGAGAUCUGACCUGAGCUGAAGCCGGAGGCUUAACCCACUGAGCCACCCAGGCGCCCCUGUGGAUGAUAUUUUGAAUUGCAGUAAAUAUUUGGCGAAUGGAUAAGAAGAAAAACAGAAGCAAAUACUUAAAUCAUUCCUUCAUCAGUGAUCGCUUAAUAAAUGCCAGGCACUGGAAUAUCAAAAUAAAAUUCAACGUGGCCCCUACAUCCAGGUAAUCCACAGCUGAGCAUGCUCUUGGAAAGGGGAAGCUGCAGACUGGAGACAGGUGGAGGCACCCGCUUGGUGCUCUGGGAGCAGAGGGGCCAGGCAUUGUCCUCUGAGCCGCGCAGUGCAGUUGGAAGCACGUUCCCGGGAGUGCCCGCGGCCGGUGGUGAGUGCACAGGGGCUCAUCUCAGCGUGAGGUGGAGAGGACCUGAUUCUGUUUGAGGGAGGAGGAUGGAGUGAUGGGGGCAGAGGAGAGGGAGUCCUUUUCUCCUGUUCUCUCUACUUUUCCUUUCUCUUCUCUCCAGUUCACCACCCGUCAGGCACUGUUUAAAUAAUGCCUCAAAAUAAACCUUCAUACUUGGAACUCUGCUCAGUUUGAC